AUCCUAGUACUACUCUCACC
rnacentral:snRNA from 1 species